rnacentral:rRNA from 1 species
GUACACUCCUACGGGAGGCAGCAGUGGGGAAUAUUGGACAAUGGGCGCAAGCCUGAUCCAGCCAUGCCGCGUGAGUGAUGAAGGCCCUAGGGUUGUAAAGCUCUUUUGUGCGGGAAGAUAAUGACGGUACCGCAAGAAUAAGCCCCGGCUAACUUCGUGCCAGCAGCCGCGGUAAUACGAAGGGGGCUAGCGUUGCUCGGAAUCACUGGGCGUAAAGGGUGCGUAGGCGGGUCUUUAAGUCAGGGGUGAAAUCCUGGAGCUCAACUCCAGAACUGCCUUUGAUACUGAAGAUCUUGAGUUCGGGAGAGGUGAGUGGAACUGCGAGUGUAGAGGUGAAAUUCGUAGAUAUUCGCAAGAACACCAGUGGCGAAGGCGGCUCACUGGCCCGAUACUGACGCUGAGGCACGAAAGCGUGGGGAGCAAACAGGAUUAGAUACCCCGGUAGUCCCAUG